rnacentral:lncRNA from 1 species
AUGCUUGAUAUUGCUGCAGUUCCCUGGUUCUGGAUUUGGUCUCCCAAUUAUAAACCCCUGUUAAAUCAGAAAAAUGGUAUUUCUCCUUUAGCAAAUGUUAAUAAAAUUUUAAGGAUGUACUCUACUUGCAGAUCUUUUCUCGGGGCAAUUCCCACCAACCAAGGUGGGGAGAAGAGCAAGGACUGUGUGCGAGACAUCCUUCUUCCGGCACAUAACACAUUCUUUAAACAGGCCAAUCUGCACCGAAGGAGGUUGAGUGGACAGGAGAUUGCUGUGUUUACGAGCUCAUUUAUAUCCUGAUAUUUUGAGCAGCUGGGCUAAGUUUUCCAGGAUGGCACAAUAACAAGAAAUUAAUCUGCAAACUAAGAGAAAAAUGAACAUGGAUAAAAUUAGACACUCAACAAGCAAACUAAGCAGCCAA